GUGGAGGUAGGAAAAAUUCUAAAAUACAACGGAAAUAUUGAUGACGUAGCGUAAUAAAUUAAUUAAAUAUUUUUUUUAAAAAAAAAUAUGUCUUAUCAUAAUAAUAAAAAAAUAUUUUUAUUGUAUUUUUGUUUGAAAAGAUGAAAUAUGAUUGGUUUGUCAUUAAUGACGUGUUGUAAGUGUGAUAGUGUAGAAUUUUUUUCGGAGGAGAACCGCCUACGAGCGUCUUUCCGCUAAUUCUAAUUCUAUACAU
rnacentral:lncRNA from 1 species